rnacentral:tRNA from 1 species
CUUGGCUAGCUCGUGCUGCGGGUGGCUUUCCAGGCCGGCGUAAUAGACACGCUCGAUGCCAGGCUGCUGUUCCAGCCAGCGGGCCAGUUCCA